rnacentral:rRNA from 1 species
AUUGAACGCUGGCGGCAUGCUUUACUCAUGCAAGUCGAACGGUAACGCGGGGGCAACCCUGGCGACGAGUGGCGAACGGGUGAGUAAUACAUCGGAACGUGUCCUGGAGUGGGGGUUAGCUAGGCGAAAGCCGGAUUAAUACCGCAUACGGUCUGAGGAGGAAGGCGGGGGCCCUUCGGGCCUCGCGCUGCGGGAGCGGCCGAUGUCGGAUUAGCUAGUUGGUGGGGUAAAGGCCCACCAAGGCGACGAUCCGUAGCUGGUCUGAGAGGAUGAUCAGCCACACUGGGACUGCGACACGGCCCAGACUCCUACGGGAGGCAGCAGUGGGGAAUUUUGGACAAUGGGGGCAACCCUGAUCCAGCCAUGCCGCGUGAGUGAAGAAGGCCUUCGGGUUGUAAAGCUCUUUCGGACGGAACGAAACGGUUACGGUGAAUAAUCGUGACUAAUGACGGUACCGUAAGAAGAAGCACCGGCUAACUACGUGCCAGCCGCCGCAGUAA